rnacentral:rRNA from 1 species
GAUGAACGCUGACAGAAUGCUUAACACAUGCAAGUCAACUGUGGCGGACGGGUGAGUAACGCGUAAAGAACUUGCCUCACAGAUAGGGACAACAUUGGGAAACGAAUGCUAAUACCUGAAACUGUGAGAGAGCUUUGCAUCCCAUUAGCUAGUUGGAGAGGUAACGGCUAACCAAGGCGAUGAUGGGUAGCCGGCCUGAGAGGGUGAUCGGCCACAAGUGGACUGAGACACGGCCCUUACGCCUACGGGAGGCAGCAGUGGGGAAUAUUGGACAAUGGUCCAAAGGCUGAUCCAGCAAUUCUGUGUGCACGAUGAAUUUUUCGGAAGGUAAAGUGCUUUCAGUUGGGAAGCGGUACCAACAGAAGAAGUGACGGCUAAAUCCGUGCCAGCAGCCGCGGUAAUUC